rnacentral:rRNA from 1 species
GCAAGUCGAGGGGUAACAUGUGUAGCAAUACCUGAUGACGACCGGCAAACGGGUGCGGAACAUGUACGCAACCUUCCCAAAACUGGUGAAUAGCCCUCCGAAAGGAGGAUUAAUACACCGUAACAUAAUGAAGAGGCAUCUCUUUAUUAUUAUAGCUCCGGCGGUUUUGGAUGGGCGUGCACCGGAUUAGGUAGUUGGUGGGGUAACGGCCCACCAAGCCUACGAUCAGUAGCUGGUGUGAGAGCACGAUC